rnacentral:lncRNA from 1 species
AAGGUUCUAGAAAAGCGGCGGUCUCGGCUCCAGCGGCAGUAGCAGCGGCGCCGGUCCCGUGUGCAGGUGCUCCGUGCGGCGCAGUUUCUUGGCCAUCGGCUGCUCUCACCACAGCGUCAGGACGAGUCCCGUGCGUGUCCGUCCGCGGAGGUCUUUCUCUUCUCGCUCGGCUGCGGGAAAUCGAGCUGAAGCGACUGAGUCCGCGAUGGAGAGAGAAAAGGAACAGUUCCGUAAGCUCUUUAUUGGUGGCUUAAGCUUUGAAACCACAGAAGAAAGUUUGAGAAACUACUACGAGCAAUGGGGAAAGCUCACAGACUGUGUGGUUAUGCGGGAUCCUGCAAGCAAAAGAUCAAGAGGAUUUGGCUUUGUAACUUUCUCAUCUAUGGCUGAGGUUGAUGCUGCCAUGGCUGCAAGGCCUCAUUCCAUUGAUGGCAGGGUGGUUGAGCCAAAACGUGCUGUGGCAAGAGAGGAGUCUGGGAAACCAGGAGCCCAUGUGACUGUGAAGAAACUGUUCGUUGGUGGAAUUAAGGAAGAUACUGAGGAGCAUCACCUUAGAGAUUACUUUGAAGAAUAUGGAAAAAUUGAUACUAUUGAAAUAAUUACUGAUAGGCAGUCUGGAAAAAAAAGAGGCUUUGGCUUUGUUACCUUUGAUGACCAUGAUCCUGUGGAUAAGAUUGUCUUGCAGAAAUAUCACACCAUAAAUGGUCACAAUGCAGAAGUUAGAAAGGCAUUGUCUAGACAAGAAAUGCAGGAAGUCCAAAGUUCUAGGAGUGGAAGAGGAGGAAACUUUGGUUUUGGAGAUUCUCGAGGUGGCGGUGGCAAUUUUGGACCAGGACCAGGAAGCAACUUUAGGGGGGGUUCUGAUGGAUAUGGAAGUGGACGUGGAUUUGGGGAUGGCUAUAAUGGGUAUGGAGGAGGACCUGGAGGUGGCAAUUUUGGAGGUAGCCCUGGUUAUGGAGGAGGAAGAGGAGGAUAUGGUGGUGGAGGACCUGGAUAUGGCAACCAGGGUGGGGGCUACGGAGGUGGUUAUGACAACUAUGGAGGAGGAAAUUAUGGAAGUGGAAAUUACAAUGAUUUUGGAAAUUAUAACCAGCAACCUUCUAACUACGGUCCAAUGAAGAGUGGAAACUUUGGUGGUAGCAGGAACAUGGGAGGACCAUAUGGUGGAGGGAACUAUGGUCCUGGAGGAAGUGGAGGAAGUGGGGGCUAUGGUGGAAGGAGCCGAUAUUGAGCUUCUUCCUACUUACCAUGGGUAAGUAGUUUUUUGAGUUUUACAAUUAUUAUUAUCUUGGGAGAACUAGCUGCAGGAGUAAAAAAGCAAUUUUAGGAUCAUGUUAUCUUUCCUUAAAAUCUGGUUAGAUGGAUAAUUUCAUAACCUAUUUUUUUUUUACUCUUUACUUCUGUUGAAACAGGCUUCACUGUAUAAAUAGGAGAGGAUGAGAGCCCAGAGGUAACAGAACAGCUUCAGGUUAUCGAAAUAACAAUGUUAAGGAAACUCUUAUCUCAGUCAUGCAUAAAUAUGCAGUGAUAUGGCAGAAGACACCAGAGCAGAUGCAGAGAGCCAUUUUGUGAAUGGAUUGGAUUAUUUAAUACCUUACUGUGGAGGAAGGAUUGUAAAAAAAAAUGCCUUUGAGACAGUUUCUU